UACGUAGGGUGCGAGCGUUAAUCGGAAUUACUGGGCGUAAAGCGUGCGCAGGCGGUUUGUUAAGACAGAUGUGAAAUCCCCGGGCUUAACCUGGGAACUGCAUUUGUGACUGGCAAGCUAGAGUAUGGCAGAGGGGGGUAGAAUUCCACGUGUAGCAGUGAAAUGCGUAGAGAUGUGGAGGAAUACCGAUGGCGAAGGCAGCCCCCUGGGCCGAUACUGACGCUCAUGCACGAAAGCGUGGGGAGCAAACAGG
rnacentral:rRNA from 1 species